rnacentral:rRNA from 1 species
AAUAGAUACCCCGGUAGUCCACGCCGUAAACGAUGAGCGCUAGGUGUUAGGGGGGUUUCCGCCCCUUAGUGCUGCAGCUAACGCAUUAAGCACUCCGCCUGGGGAGUACGGUCGCAAGACUGAAACUCAAAGGAAUUGACGGGGGCCCGCACAAGCGGUGGAGCAUGUGGUUUAAUUCGAAGCAACGCGAAGAACCUUACCAGGUCUUGACAUCCCGCUGACCGCCAUGGAGACAUGGCCUUCCCUUCGGGGACAGCGGUGACAGGUGGUGCAUGGUUGUCGUCAGCUCGUGUCGUGAGAUGUUGGGUUAAGUCCCGCAACGAGCGCAACCCUUGUCCUUAGUUGCCAUCAUUCAGUUGGGCACUCUAAGGAGACUGCCGUACAAAUACGGAGGAAGGUGGGGAUGACGUCAAAUCAUCAUGCCCCUUAUGACCUGGGCUACACACGUGCUACAAUGGGUGGUACAAAGGGCGGCAAACCCGCGAGGGGGAGCGAAUCCCAAAAAGCCACUCUCAGUUCGGAUUGCAGG